GAUGAACGCUAGCUACAGGCUUAACACAUGCAAGUCGAGGGGAAACGGCAUUCAGUGCUUGCACUGAAUGGACGUCGACCGGCGCACGGGUGAGUAACGCGUAUCCAACCUUCCCAUUACUGUGGGAUAACCUGCCGAAAGGCAGACUAAUACCGCAUAGUCUUCGAUGACGGCAUCAGAUUUGAAGUAAAGAUUUAUCGGUAAUGGAUGGGGAUGCGUCUGAUUAGCUUGUUGGCGGGGUAACGGCCCACCAAGGCAACGAUCAGUAGGGGUUCUGAGAGGAAGGUCCCCCACAUUGGAACUGAGACACGGUCCAAACUCCUACGGGAGGCAGCAGUGAGGAAUAUUGGUCAAUGGACGAGAGUCUGAACCAGCCAAGUAGCGUGCAGGAUGACGGCCCUAUGGGUUGUAAACUGCUUUUGUAUGGGGAUAAAGUCAAUCACGUGUGAUUGCUUGCAGGUACCAUACGAAUAAGGACCGGCUAAUUCCGUGCCAGCAGCCGCGGUAAUACGGAAGGUCCGGGCGUUAUCCGGAUUUAUUGGGUUUAAAGGGAGCGUAGGCCGGAGAUUAAGUGUGUUGUGAAAUGUAGACGCUCAACGUCUGACUUGCAGCGCAUACUGGUUUCCUUGAGUACGCACAACGUUGGCGGAAUUCGUCGUGUAGCGGUGAAAUGCUUAGAUAUGACGAAGAACUCCGAUUGCGAAGGCAGCUGACGGGAGCGCAACUGACGCUUAAGCUCGAAGGUGCGGGUAUCGAACAGG
rnacentral:rRNA from 1 species